GGCCCCUUCAUCUAAUGGUUAGGAUACGGCCCUUUCAAGGCCGCGAUACGGGUUCGAGUCCCGUAGGGGUCACCA
rnacentral:tRNA from 1 species